AACGAACGCUGGCGGCAUGCCUAACACAUGCAAGUCGAACGAGACCUUCGGGUCUAGUGGCGCACGGGUGCGUAACGCGUGGGAACCUGCCCUUAGGUUCGGAAUAACUCCCCGAAAGGGGUGCUAAUACCGGAUAAUGUCUUCGGACCAAAGAUUUAUCGCCUUUGGAUGGGCCCGCGUUGGAUUAGCUAGUUGGUAGGGUAAAAGCCUACCAAGGCGACGAUCCAUAGCUGGUCUGAGAGGAUGAUCAGCCACACUGGGACUGAGACACGGCCCAGACUCCUACGGGAGGCAGCAGUGGGGAAUAUUGGACAAUGGGCGAAGGGCUGAUCCAGCAAUGCCGCGUGAGUGAUGAAGGCCUUAGAGUUGUAAAGCUCUUUUACCCGGGAUGAUAAUGACAGUACCGAGAGAAUAAGCUCCGGCUAACUCCGUG
rnacentral:rRNA from 1 species